GAUUUAUGGCAAAGCAAAACAGGACAUAACAUGAAACAGAAUAUAAACAAAGCACAACCCACCUUUGGUGGUCUUCUGCAUUACAUUAAUGAUGUCACCAAGCCGUAGACUCAGAUAACCCUGAUGCUGUGCUUGGUAGGCCACUGUACAUUGGACCUGAGGGCAGUCUUAACAAAUAAAUGUUUGGUUUUAGUGGUUUCAGUGGAGCUUUUACAAAUAACUGUGUUUUCAUUAUGUUGAUUUCCCCCUGCAGUCAUUUCAUUUCUGAUGCAAUUCCUUCAAUGUUUCUCAGUGCUACAGAGGACAGCUUUGUGCUUUGUGUGUAAAAUGUGUGUUCAAUGGAAACUUCCUUGAUGUCAUUGACAACUCUGCCCUCUAGUGGCUGCUACAAGUCACAGUGUGUGAGACACCACAGUGCAAAAUGUGAAUUACAGUGGUCCAUUCGUAAAAGGAACGACUUUCUCUUACAGUAUAAUACAGUCACUGGACAAACAUUCCAAGGUAAUAAGUGAAUACAAUCACAUAUAUAAUAUUUGGAAGUGAGAUACAUACUCUCUCUCUUUCUCUCCCCAUCUCUCUUUUUCUCUCUCUUUCUCACACAUAUAAUUGACGCACACACACCCACAUCUGAAUUAACACUCACCCCAUUCCUCAUAUAUCUCCUCAUCUCCAUCUUUUCUUUGAAUCAGCAUUUCCAUCCAGCUGGCUUUCUCGGCUCUGAAAUCAUGUAUUACACCAUCAGACCUCGUAUGUAGUAUGAUUCAGUUAGAGGCUCCCCCUCACAAUGACACAAACAUUGAAGUACGUUUAAUUCCGUUGUCCUUUGUUUAACUUCUAAAUUAAGCACCUUUGCCUUCAGUGUCACCCAAGAAUAGUACUUUACCACAUAGAUCUCAACCUGGGACUUACCUCAUUACCCUGCCAUUACAUUUGAAGCAUUUGAAGAACCAUAGGUCAACUACUAAGAAGUCGUUUUUACCGAACACUUUGCUCAAAGCAAAGAAACAGUGUUUGGUAUUACAUCAUUCUUAUAUUAUAUUAUAUUUACAUAUGCAAUGUGGUGAGCUGGUGGGUGUGCCCCUUUAUUCUGACUCAUACCUGUGUUGCGUGCUUUCUAGGGACACAUCUAAAUACUCUUACAUAACAUUCUCUUUUCGUGUUCUUUCCUAAUCUCAUUAGAGUGGCACAAGAGAAAACUAUAUGGCGCGAGUACAUCAUCUGAUAAUCCUCUUUUGUCCCAUCCAGAUGUUAAGUCUGUCAAUUCCAAUUAAGGAGUGUGUACUCACUGUGAGGGGGCUUGCAACAGGAGACGAGAGAUGCCUCCUCUGUGGUUCUGCAGGAGGGCAAGCUGGAAUGUUCUGUCCAGUUCGCACCCCUCUUCAUCCUCCUCCACACUGCUGACCUCUACAAGAGAGCGAUGGGCAUGGUCGCGCACCACAAAGCGGUCUGGCCUGCAGGUAACAAACCCAGCACAACUUAGCAGUGUUUACUAUAUGUCUUUAUUUUAUAAUAUAAUAUAUGCAGUCCAGUCAAACUAUAACUGGAUGUUAUUACCAAAUUGACUGUUUAAUAUCCUAGUAUUACC
ensembl:lncRNA